UAAGAUGUAUCUGGUGGUGGUGAGCUGAAAAGAUCCUGGCUUUAAUGGUAUCGCAAAAGGCUUGGCUGGAGGCCCAAACUUCCCAGUUAUUUUACAGGGCUUUGAAAAGCUGAAGUACUUCUGCAAUACGCGUGUGAAUCUGGGAGGGGAAUCUGUUGAAUAAAAUCAUAAUUAACAGAUCCUCCAGUAUUUUUAGCACUCCUAUAUAUUCCCAGUACUCGUA